AUGUAUUUACAUAUUUUAUAUUUUUCCCUCUAAUUCUAUACAUUAUUUUACUUUUUGUUCAUACCUAUUCUGUUAAACAUUUUAGUGAAUUUUACCUCAAAUGUUCCAGAAUCGUUUUCAUAAAACACACAAAGCUCUGGGCGUUUUGUUCUUGACUUUGUUUAUUAAUGAUUCCAUGUUUUUGUAAGAACUUGGUACAAAAGGUGAGACUACUCUUUAACCAUCAAUCCUCCGUCCAUCAGCGUUUGAAUGCAUCAGAAAGAAGGAAAAACUACGUUGGCAUAUUUAAGACAAACACUUCCUAUACACACUAUCCACCGGACCGCCUCCGCUGACGAACAGAAACUUCUACUUCACCUCCAUCUACACAAACUCCUCUGGUUCCUCUUGGCUCCUCGAUAAAAGAAUAUAAAAAUGUUUUUUUUUCUUCUUUUUGUUUUGUUCAAAUGUUGUGUUGUGUAGUAAAAUAGAUUUGUUUAAGCACUGCACAGUUUCUCCCGGAGAAGAUUCCUAGAAACGGAUGGAGGAGGAGCAGGAGGAAAGUGGGAUUCUCUUUAUUAUUCUUUUUUUAAACUGAUAUGGUUUCCAUCUCGGUUUGAACUUUCACCUCUCAGGUGAGGACUUGAUAUGCAUCACAUGGCACAUUUCAAAAUAAAAGCCCUCUUAUGUUAUAGACUAACUGAUGAUGAUUUAUUCUCAUGAAGGCAGGUUGGACUCUGAAAGAGCGCCACCAUCAGGAAACAAAAGCUUAAAGCGGUAAAGGUGAACAGACUUCCAGAGCCCUGCAGCGUCGAUCCUUCAGAGACCAAACAGGUGAGCUGGAGAUAUGAUUUUAAUCGUCUUUUCUGAUAAAAAACAAACAAACUUAUUUUUCCUCUCCUUUUUGUUCAUGUUUGUGCAUCAGAGAGCUGCACCUCCAUUGAUCGGUGAGUACAGUACCACAACUGAAUAAUAAAAAACAGAAAACGAUGGAAGCGUUGAAGCGGGACGUCUCCGGACGGCAGGAAGACUCGCGACUGUUGUUGCAGCUCGACGGAGACGUCCUGAUUCUGCUGCUUUUCUUUUCUCUAUUUUAUCGUCAAUAUAAAAAAACUGAUACAACAAAGACCAAAACCCUGAAACGAUGUGAGGCAGUGUUCAUCUUUUGCUCAGAAUACACAGAAAAUAUAAAAUGCACACACAAAAAAACGUUUUUGGCAUAUUUUCCAUACUGGUUAAAGAGGGAGGGGCGGAGUGGAUGCAUCACGUUCGCUGGGGCGAGUUUCUAUUUGCCUUUAAGACGUAGAAAUAAAAACAAAAUUAUUUCAUGUUCCUUUCCAGAAGCACUUUAUGAAUUUAAACCAUCUACUUCACCAUUGAACACAGUGGGCGGGGCUAGAGGAAACCUGCCGUCUGAUUGGCUGCUUCAAACCUUCAAACCUUGGUACAACAGAGAUCAAUAUCUUCACCAGAAAGUGCAGGAGUAACUUUAGUAGUAUAAUUAAAUUGCAAACAGUUUGUUUACUGUAAGGUCUGAGUGAGAAACUGCAGCUUUUAUAUCUAGUUUGGUCUGAAAUCUCUCAAAUUCAGGAGAGAGUGUUAGCCGGUGUUGGCUAAUGCUAAUCUAGCCUGACAGAACCAGCGAGUUUAUUAAUGAAUUAUUAAAGAUAUAAAUGCUGGAGUUGGUCAUCUAGAGUUUGUAGUAAAUAAAAUGUAACUUAAGUUUAUUUCUACACUUUCAGUAAACUUGAAAGAAUCCUUGCUGUCUGAAACAGCCAAUCAGACGCCAGUUUCUCCCUGAAUCCCGCCCACUGAGUUUGUUUGUUCCAGAGUAAAAAUAAAAUAAAUUCUCUGUAGCUCUGAUAGCUGGUGAUGAAUUUUUACCCUCUUUUUGCAGAACUGCUUCAAUUUGGAGACUUUAAAGUCAAACUACAAAGUCUGAAUUGGAUGCAAGUCCAGACUUUGAUUAGGCCGCUCCAGAACCUUCAUUUAUUUUUCUUUUGAGCUGUUCAGACGUUGCACACUUUUAGAAAACGUGCAGUUUAGUCUCUUGACCUCUGACCUUAACAGAGGAAAGUAAAACUGAAUUUACCAACAAAAAACACUAAUCAGUUAACUGUUUAGUGUUUGAGAUGUUUUACACCUUUAUUUUAAUUCCAUUCAGUGGUAAAAAAUUUCUUUCUGCGUCUUAAAGAAAAGUUGAACCUGUCCAAUCAGAGACUCUGUUUAGAUGAUGAUGAUGAUGAUGAAAGCACGUAUGUACAGUGAUUCCCCUCAAUACUCCAAACAUUUAUCAACAGGCAUCGGCAUGAAAAUACUAAAAUCUGCACUAAAAAGCUAAUUUCUGUAGUUUAAUCUUAAAUAUUUUUUUCUUUGACUUUAACUCUAUAAAUACUGAGAAAAUCGUAGUUCUCUGUUUUGUUUGAAGGCUCGUCUGCGUGUGGAAACGUCUUCCUGAAGUCGUAUGGCAGGAACUUUGUUCACAGGAUGGAAACGAACGUCUACUCAGAUAAAUCGCUGUACAGCCGCUCGGAAGCUGGAUUCUACCGCUGGGGGAGCGUGGCGAUGGUCGUCAUGGUGACCUGGACCAGCUGGUCUCGCUGGAUGAGCCUGAUGAGCGUUUUGAUGCGGUCGAGCGACG